AUCACAGAGGCUCGAGCCAGGAGUAAUAACCUCCUCCAACUCGCUCCUGCCUAAAGCUCCACGCAGUCUGUCGAAGGAGAACAAGGCGUUUCUUAAACUAGCUCCGAGGACAGAAAGUUAUUUCUCCACUGAAACGCAGCCCUGUCUGUUUUCUCUUGAACACUUCAUGUGCCUCUUCAACAAUGCGAUUCCUACAAUCCCUCACCACUGCACAACAAACACAAUAUGGGAUGGAGAGUCUCGUGAUACACUUUGUGCACACCUCCCCGAGUCUCCCGUGGCCUUUAGAGAGGCUGCGAUAGAGGUCAGCACUCUCUCUGUAUACAACACAACCUUCAGCAGACGGGAUGGAAAUGCCGAGAGUGAUCCCUCCCGCAGCAAAAAGGCUCCAAAACCAUUUUGAAGUGAUUUAGACGCAGUUUAUCCGAAAACGCUGUCUGUGCCAUUUACGUCUCAUUUCCAUGUUAAUGAAACUACCACGUUCCCGUCUUGCUCUUUGUGUAACACGAGACACAGAAAGCAUCUGUGAGCCGAACCUGAGAGAAAAGCGAGAGGCGGGGGGGUGAAAAAACCUCAGAGUUCAAACUGUAAGUGUGGUUUGGUUUGCAGUGCAUAUAGUACAUGUAAAGUGUUCAUGUAAGCACAUAUAUAUAAAAAAAAAACAGAAAAUCAUUUAUUUAUUGGUCUACUUAGCCGUGCAGAGUGUAAUCUGCCUCUCACCCAAUGUCAGCUGGAAUUGGCUCCAGAGCCUCGUAGGAUAAGCGGUGAAGAUAAUGGAUGGAUUAAUGGAUGGACGGAUGGAUGAUUUCACUCUGCUCCGCUUGUUUAUUGUGUUGUGACUUAUUUGAGGUAACAGAAAGGGCAGAGACUCCCGUACAGAGGACGGCGCACACGUGUAAAUCACAGCCUUUGCCGAGGGAAACUGCAGUGAUUGACAGGUGAGCACCUGAAGGGCAGUCGACUGUUGGUUGCUGGAAGGGUUGCAGCGCAGGCCUCCUGAUACCUGGUUUCCCGCGGGGUAACCUAAAUGAAAACACACUUCCUGUUCCGCUGGGCACUGGAGUGUUGUUCGCUCUUGACAUCUUGCUCUCAAACACACUUCGCACCGUUCCGACCGGGAGGAAGCACUCAGCUAUUUCUUGACAAGGUGACCUGACAUGCUCGGCGCUCCACCUUUACCUCGCCUCUGAAGUGGAACUGGGCCUGAAAUCAACAGUAAUCACUGACAUUUACGCGCUGUGACGCGUGGAAGGAGCGUUAGCUGGAUUUCCAAUUGCAACAGUCAAAUUAGGAAAGCCGAUGGACUUAAUCAUGGCAGCAGGGCCCCCUUCCCUGCAGAGCAUCAAUGACUCGUUACCCAUGAUAACACGGCAGGACCCUGGCUGACUGAGGAGAUGCCUGAAUUAAAACCCUGCUUCCAUGGAAACCGGCUUAGCAGCUCACGGCUCUGCAUCACCUCUGAACUCUUGUAUUUCUCUCAAGGCUGUGACAAGUGCUGUGAAGUGGAGCUGGAGAUGGAGGGCAUGGGAGGGAAAAAAAAAAAGAAAAAAAAGAAGAGAGAAAAGAACAAUAAAGCCGCAAUCUUUUACAAAAGGAGAUUCAAGU